GACGAACGCUGGCGGCGUGCUUAACACAUGCAAGUCGAACGGAAAGGCCCUGCUUGCAGGGUACUCGAGUGGCGAACGGGUGAGUAACACGUGGGUGAUCUGCCCUGCACUUCGGGAUAAGCCUGGGAAACCGGGUCUAAUACCGGAUAGGAGCCAUUUUUAGUGUGAUGGUUGGAGAGUUUUUUCGGUGUAGGAUGAGCUCGCGGCCUAUCAGCUUGUUGGUGGGGUAAUGGCCUACCAAGGCGGCGACGGGUAGCCGGCCUGAGAGGGUGGACGGCCACAUUGGGACUGAGAUACGGCCCAGACUCCUACGGGAGGCAGCAGUGGGGAAUAUUGCACAAUGGGCGCAAGCCUGAUGCAGCGACGCCGCGUGGGGGAUGACGGCCUUCGGGUUGUAAACUCCUUUCGCUAGGGACGAAGCUUUUUGUGACGGUACCUAGAUAAGAAGCACCGGCUAACUACGUG
rnacentral:rRNA from 1 species